GUUUACCAAUGCACGGUUUAUGGUGCAGGGAAGCGGCUGGGCAGGGCGGAGCUCGGCCAGGGCGCACUGGCCUUGGAGGAGUCAGCCUGGCCGCUGGCUGAACCCCCAGGCAUGGCUCGUCCCUGGGGGCACCGAUUAGCAGAUGUCACCCUGAAGGCCAAGUCGGGCCCAGGAGGCCCUGAGGGCGUGGGCACGGGACUCACUGAGCCAGGCGAAGUGGAAGGCCACCUUCUCGCCAGAACCCUGCGCACACAGCCCAUGGGCUGCUGCUUGCCGAGCCUGCCCCGGCGGGCCCAGUCCGGAGCAGAGCCUGCCGCUGGCUGAGGCCCGGGGCCUGCGGGUCCUGCGGGGGCAUCGCCAGGGCGCUGGGGACGAGGAGCUCUCAGGUGGGGAGACUGCAGGCAGGUGGAGGCGCCCUCCCCGCACCAGGCAGGGGUCUAGGUGCGGGGGCUUCAGGGCUGGGUGAGCCCCACAGGCCCCCCUGCCGUGGUGGACAGAGGGCGGACACCGCAGGGAGCAGGAUCGCUGCUCCAGGGCAGGAGGCCCUUUGGGGUGAGCCGUCCAGCAGGGCCUCUCUGAGGAGGGCCUCUGUCCUGGGGCUGCCGGGGUCCAGUAACGGGCGGAGGAGGUACCUGGAGUGGCGGCCCCGGGGAGCCAGUGACUGAGAUCUGAGCAGGCUCCCUGUCUCUGGGCGGGGGUCCUGCCGUCCAAGUGUGCAGACUGGCCAGAAGCAGGAGAGGUGCUCCCCAGCACAGUGGGCAGACCCCCAGGUCACACGGCAGGUGGCAGGCCCCCCCAGGUCACACGGAGGGGGGCAGACCCCCAGGUCACACGGCAGGGGGGCAGACCCCCCCAGGUCACACGGAGGGGGGCAGACCCCCAGGUCACACGGAGGGGGGCAGACCCCCGCCCACCUCCUGACCAGGCAGUGGACUCUUUGUCAGGGCUGGUGAUAAGGUGGUUGAGUCUGGUCCAGCUGCAGCUGGUGUGGUGAGCACCCCCUACCUGGCAAUGCCCCGGUGACCUGGCUUUGUGAGGGGCGUGGGCAGCCUCCCGAAGGGGAAGCUGCCCAAGGAGCCAGACUGUCCCAUCAUAGGGGUGUCACAGCUGCCCCAUGUCCCCAGGGCAGGACCUGGGGUCCUCCUCGCCUGGAAGCUCCCCCUCUAGCUCCUGCCCCCUGCUCCUGCCCCCUACUCCUGCCUCCAGCCCCCAGGACUCACAUCGUUCAGGGGAGGCUGCGCUGAAGACCCCUGCCCCCGGCAGCCAGUCGAUCCCAAACAGGCUUUUCCUCUUGUGGCCCAGAGAGGCCUUGGCCAGGAUCUCGCGCAGCUGGGAGUGGAGUGGGAGGCCUGUCACAGGUCGUGUGACCGUGCAGCAGGGACUCGCAGGUCCUCCGGGCUGAGCCCACGACAGCCUCCUGGGGCCCGGUGAUAGCGGUGAGGACAAGCCCCACCCGGCCCCCCGGGCACCGGCCUCCCCCCUCCUGCCCUGCUCCCCGGGCACCGGCCCCAGAGAUGGUGUUCUCACACUUGGCAGGCCUUGGCCUUGGCUGGCAGGCUGGGCUCGUGGUGUUUGGCCUGGGUUUGACCUCACACCCCUGCCAAGCACAGCCCCUGUGCUGGCCCCUCGGUCUGGGCAGCCGUUCCCCCCACAGGAGGCCUGUGUCGGGAGGGGGGCCCAGGCCCUGCUGGGAAGCCCACGUGGCCCUGCUCUUUGGUCUGCAGGGGCCAGUUCUCCUGGGCAGACCCGUCCCAGCCCUCCCCCCACACCGGCCGGCCCUGCCCGCGGUUCUCAGGGACGCUGCCGCCGUGGGCUUUGGCCUCUGUCCUCACUGACCCACUGGACCCAUACCUGCCCAGGCCCCAUGGCCUUGGCAAGUCCUGCCAGUCCUUGAAAGUGACAUCCACUGGGGCCCUGCGGGCCUGCGGGCCCCAAGCAGCGAGGUGGAGACAGGUUCCCAGCCACGUGGCCUCGCUGCUCUGGACAGCACAGGCCAGCCUUCCCGUGUCCACAGAGGCCUCUGCUGCCCGCUGGGGGCCCUGGGUCUGAGCCACAGGCUCUGAGCCAGGUUGGGACCCCCCACUCACCAUCUGGUGCCCAUGGUGCUGGGGAAGAAGGGGGCCUGGCUGUCCCCGCUACGGACCUGCAGGUGUGAAGAGCUCCCUGGGCCUCCGUCAGGCCUGCAGGGCGGCCUUGCCCCCAGCCACACGGGCGGCUCCCACGUGGGGCUCUUCCUCUCCUGAGGUCACGGCAAGUGCUUGGGUGGCACAGAUACCCCCAGGGCAGGGUAGUGGCAGUGCUUGGGCAGAUGAGUCCACGGCAGUCUGCAUGCCCGGGGGCUCUGAGCGCGGCACCCAAGGCCUCUCUCUGGGCGGUGUCUGGCCAGUGGCUGACCGCAGGGCCUGCCCUGGACCCAAAAUCUCGAGAAGCCCUGCGGAGGGGGCAUGACUCUGCCCCCCAGCCCAGAAGGGAGGUGUCCUCAGCUCGGGGGUCUCUGUGCUAACCCAGGCCUGGGUGCCGCCGUAACCUGCAUGCUGGGUGAGGCUGUGACCGGCUUUGGGGAGUCACGUGCCAAGGGAAGGACUCCAGGAACAGUGUGGACCGGCUUCUUGCAUUUUGUGUGUGAGAGCCCCGGGGCACCUGCCCACCCACCGCUAUCAUGGAGCUGGGUGGACGUGGGCCUAACAUCCAGGCCCCGGGGUCGGAGAUGAGCCUCCAGCACAGUUUCCCUGUUUGACUGAUGCAGAUGACAUGGGCGGAAGCCCGCCCGCCCGAGACUCGCCCCCGGUCUGAGGGGAGAGUUCGGGGAGAGCGGCAGGUUUUGUUCUCCUGCUUGGUGAUUCUCUCACCUUCCCUGGGCCCGCCUGAGGCUGUUGGGGGCCGGAGGAGCCCCCUUACUGGACAGUUGGCUCACUGAACCGGCAGGAGUGUGACUCCAGGGCACGUCGGGCACGGCCUCAGCAGGCUGUUGGAUGCCCAGCCGCUGCAGCAGGCCAGCCAGCCGGUUGGAGGCCCGGUUGGCAUCUCCUGGAAGGGAUGGUCACUUGCCCCCCAACCCUGAGGGGACGUGGACGCCAGCGCUGUGGGGGUGUGUGGGUUUGCUCCCGCCCGCCGUGGCCCGGCUGUGGACCCUGUGUAGACCAGGUGAGGCCCCUCCCUCUCCGGGCCCUGGGCUCCAGGGCUGCUCUUCAGUCCUUUUGAGGCCCAGAGCCAUCUCGGCAGGAAGGGGCAAGAGAACGGUGGCCUCCCCUUGUCCACCCCCACAUCACAACGGUCCAGAGCCGCCCACAGCCUGGGCCGCAGAGCAGCCCCAGGCCUGCCCUCCCGAGGCUGGCCAGGAGCUGCGCCCCUCCCGGAGCCCCGCUGGCCGGGCCAGCCCUCAGCGGGAGGCCUGGGGGCUCCGGUCCGGGGGUCCAGGUGGCCUUGGCUGCUGCACACACUGCCCACCCCUCCCGAGUCCUGCCUCGGGGGGGACCGCCCCUCCCCCGACGUGGCAGCAGGGCUUCUGGGAGCACCGUGGAGCGGGGGGGGGGUCACAGGCACUCUCAAGGACAUGGAGUGGGAGCCCCCAGGCUUGUGAACAGCAGCGUGGGGCGCAGUCACAGGCGUCCCGUACCCGCAAGGGCAGCUUCCGACGCAGGUCCUCCGCACGGUAGCAGAGCACGGCCCGGGGGCACGCGGUCCUCGUCCUGGACGUCAGGCGGCGCGGACCACGGGUUCCAUGAGGGCCUGGGGUGCACACGUGUGUGCGCAGGUGUGUGUGCCUGUGGCACGUGCGGGCGUCUUUGCGUGUGUGAGUGCACACGUGUGCAUGCCUGUUGUGUGGGUGCGCUGUGUGUGUGCAUGGGCGUAUGUGUGUAUCCAUUCACACUGAGCAAAGAGGUAUUUCUGUAGCUGAGGUAGAAACUCACCAGCGCCGUUUCAAACGUACGUGGUAAUAGCAGCGGGACCUGUGGGCCUGCCUCUGGGAGCUGCCGAACUGUGACGGUCCCUGCAAGGCCAGCGGGGCCACCAGCGCUCCUGAGCUCAUGGGCAAGAACAGCUUCCGUGGGUAAUGACCGCACGGCUGUGCCUUCGACAAGCCACGGGGCAUCUGUUGACAUCACGCACGCGCAGCAGAAGUGCGCACACGGGCUGUGUGCGAACGGGAGGGUGUGGCCUUGGCCGCGCGCAGAGGGGUCCCAGGCGCUCCUGGAGCCCUGAGCUGGGCACCUUCCACCCCAGGGCCCCACAUCCCUUCUGAGCACCCCGGCUGUCCCACACGGCCCCCUCAGUGAGUCUCAGCUGCAGCUCCCGUCACAGCCCUCACAGCUCCCCCGAGGUCGAGGCUGAGGCCCAGCCCGGCCAGGCUCCCAGAGGUGGGCACACGCGUCCCCGCUGGCUGAGACGUGUGCUGAGGCUGAGGCCCCGCCCGGGCCAGGCGCCUGGAGGUGGGCACACUCGUGCCCGCUGGCUGAGACGCGUACCGAGAGCCAAGGCCCCAUCUGCUCUGAGGGCUGAGGGUGCUGGGCAGUGGGUGGCGGAAGCCACUCGUGCUGCCCCCGCGGGGUGCCCCGCGCCCACUUGGGGCGACAGGUCUGGAGGGAGGUCCGGGAAAGUGUGCGCCGUCUGUUUCCAUGACACAGGGCGGCUUUUCACGCCCUCUCUUCAUUGGACUGUCGAGAGGGUCCCGAUCACCAGGGGGAGUCCUGGCCCCAGUCCCCCCGUGCGUGUCUGCUGGCUUCUACGUGGCUCUGGAAGGGAGCGCGGCCAGCCGGGGGCAGGGGGCAGGGGGCGGCGGCAGUGGGCGCACCCUUCCUGUUCCAGAGGGCGGGAAAUGGAACCCGAGGCGGAGGGGACCCACGCGGUCCAUCAGCCAGGACGCUGCAAUGCUGGUGCCCAGGACGGCCAGGCCGGAAGCGCCCAGGACACCAGCAUCCAGCGUUGAUGAGGACAAGGUGGAUAGCCCAGCAGCACAGGUACAGAUGAGACAAGAAGGCUGUUCACGCCUGCAGAAACGUCGCGAGUCUUUAGGAAUCGGGGCGACGAGGAUGCGGACCGCACCUCCGUUCCCUCGGCAGACUGUGGAGCCUGAGGCCACCAAGUGUCCACAGGGGUUCCCGUUGACGGCGGAACGUGCCCUGCACACACGUGCGCACUCACAGCAGCCCCGCCGGGAGGAGGUCGGACGUCCCCGCACACGAGGACAGAGGGAGACGGAGGCGCCUCACCCAGGGCCGCGGGCGAGCGCAGCCACUCCAGCGACGCGCGUGGGCCUCGCGGCCACCGUGUCAGGAGGCGUGGCCCCAAGUCCUUCCGUCAGGCUCAAGCAGACAAAGCUGGCUGUGUUGUUUGGUGGCGUGAAAUGUGUGCAGAGGCGCCCGAGAAACGGAUGUGACUGACCUCAGGACCAGUGACCCUGACGGCAGAGCCUGCCCCAGGGACCGGAGGCCGGUGGUCGGAAAGGAGGGCAGAGGACCGGGGGGCGGCCCAGGGGGUCGGGGCAGAGGACGUGAGGGGAGGGCGCUGCCUCCAGCCGGCUGGAGCAUCCAAGUGACACCGACUGUUACAGCCGACAGACUGCACGGGAACGAGUGUCUGUGAACAGAGAGAGUCAGGGUGACAUGUUGCGUCUACACCAAAACUUUAACACCGGAGGUGGAGUGGGUGAACGCAGGGUGGCUCCUGAGUUUCCAGGGACCACGGGCUCUGGCUUCCCCGAGGAACUUGGCCUCCUGCAACAGGUAGGGGUUGAUUACACCGGCCUGUGGUCAGUGGUUCCGCAGCCACCGGGGCUCACUGAGGGCCGGGCCUCCAGUGAGGCGCUGAGGCUUGAUCUGACCCGUGGCUCUGGGCACCGUGCCCGCAGGCCUGUGGGGUGAGGUCGGAGGUCACGGAAUGAAGGCUGAGCCUGGGCUCCACAGCCACCCCCCUGGCACUGGGUCCACGUGUAGUCCGGCUGCACGAAGGCUGCCCAGGAAGCUGUCUGUCCCUCCAGGCCCCGUGUGUGCCGGUCUUGUCGUGGGUGGCGUCCAGCGGCCGACCCUGCUUCAGGUCCUCCUCCCAAAUGAGGACAGAGUGUGCUGGAACCGACAGGUAUGGAGGCAGGGAUGGGCCGUCUGGGGGACGCCAGCCCAGGGAGGAAUCCUCCCUGGCUCCUGAGCGCUGGGCUCCUCCUCGGUUUCCUUUUCAGCCUCCACUCGGGGCAGGAGGGCUCAAGGAGAGCUUCUGGAACAGCCCUGCAGCUGCCGAGGGGGACAGGGAGGCCUGCGGAGGGUCUGGGGUCGCUCUCAGCAGCCCCUGUGGCUCCCACCCCUGCAGGCGUAGCCCCCGCCCUUCUGGAGUCUACCAGCCCCUCAAAUGCUCCGUGUGUGAGACAUUCCAGCCUUAGCUCCCUCCCUGGAAACUGGAAAGGCUGGACAAAGCAGUCCCAUGGUUAGCACUCUGCUCGUCCACUUCUGGGGGCCUGGGUUCAAUCCCUGGCUGGGGAGCCCAGGCCUUCGAGAGGAGGGACCCUUGUGAGGUGAGCCCUGCGUUCACUUCUGCUCUCUCCCAAAGGGCGCUUUCCAAAUUGCGGGGCAGGGCAGCAGAGCCCGAGGGAGCAGAGGGCUUGCUGGGUGGGGAAUGGAGGUCAGACUUCGGGGCUGCUGAGGGGCCUCGGGCUUGAGGGGACCCCUGGGUGCUCGGACCUCCUGAGCUGGUCACGCCCAGAGGCAGCUGCCAGAGGCCCGGGGCUGACAGAACCUCAGGAGGAGCUCAGAGCGGCAGCUCCUCCAGGGAGGGGGUGAUCGGUGGGCCUCCCGGCCUCCCAGCUGAGGCCGCUGGGCAACACCGUGGGAGUAAGGACCUCACGGCGAGGGUGAGAAGCGCCCCUUGGUGAGGAGUGCAGAACCGCAGUGGGCCUGAGCUGACGCCUGACACCGCGCUCGGGCAGAUCCAGGGCACCUCCUGCCCAAACAAAACUCAACGCUGUACAAAAGGUGACGGAGUCAGAGACAGACUCAGAGACGAGCCGCACGGUGGGGCUGGCAGAGAACGGUGACAUCAUGGCAACCGUGGAGCUAAAAGACGAAAAAGAGGGAAGGAUGGACAAAGGGUCUGAUUAGCAAACAAGAAUUCUUUAUGCAGCGGAAGUGUUCUUCAGAAAUGAGACAGAAAGAACUGAAAUCUGAGAGAGUCAGUCCCACGCACAUGCUCCGCAGGAGACCCACAGGGAAUUCUCCGGGCUGAGGGAGACCCUCAGGUGGAAGCGCAGAUGAGCAAGAAUGGACAGGCAGCCCAGGAAGGCGAAAUGAAUAGGUAAAUACAAACAGGACGCUGUCUCUGUCUACAGAUGGCGUAAUCUGUAUGUAAAACAUCCAAAGGAAGUCACUACAAAACUAUUAGAACUGAUCUCCGUUUUGGCAAGAUUGGAAAGUCAACAUACAAACACCUGCAUCUCUACACAUGAGCAGGAAGCAAGCUGAAAAUAAAACAGAGAAAAAUAAUUCCCCUUACAGCAGUGCGAAAAUGAAACUCAAAUAAAUUUAACAAAAGAAAGUGCAAGACUUAUACGCUGAGAAGUGCCGAAUGCUGUUGAAAUAAGCUGAAGAGCUCCAGACAAAGGCAAAAACAUUCCAUGUGCAGAAACGCAAAGACAACACGGUGGAGACAGCAACAGCCCCCAACUGGUUUACAGAUUCAACACAACUCUCAUUAAAAUUCUAGCUGGCUUUUUUUUUUUUUCCGGAAAUUGACAAGUUCAAAAUUCACAUGGAAAUACAUGAGACCCAGAAUAGCCAAAACAUUGAAAAAGAAGAACAGAGUUUCAGGAUGUGUAUUUUUCAUUUCAAAACUUACUACAAAGACGGUAAUCAAGACAGAGUGGUGCUGACAUAACGAGAGACACACAGAUCAACAGAAUAUACGUGAGAUUUCAGAAAAAAGCUUGUAUUUUAUGUUAAUUUUUUAAAAAAGAGACCAACACAAUCCAUUGGGAAAAGAAUAGUGAGUUCAGUAUAUGAUGCUGGGACAGGUGAAUUUCCACUUGCAAAAGAAUAAAUCUGAACCGCCUGCUGCUGCUGCUGCUGCUGCUAAGUCGCUUCAGUCGUGUCCGACUGUGUGACCCCAUAGAUGGCAGCCCACCAGGCUCCCCCGUCCCUGGGAUUCUCCAGGCAAGAACACUGGAGUGGGUUGCCGUUUCCUUCUCCAAUGCGUGAAAGUGAAAAGUGAAAGUGAAGUCGCUCAGUUGUGUCUGACUCUUAGUGACCCCAUGGACUGCAGCCCACCAGGCUCCUCUGUCCAUGGAUUUUCCAGGCAAGAGUACUGGAGUGGGGAGCCAUCACCUUCUCCGACCUACCUCACACCAUAUAUCAACAUUAAAGUGGAGAUAAGAUAAUAAAAAAGAUCACAGACCGAGGUAUAAGAGCUAAAAUGAUAAAACUUUUUGGAGGGAACAUAGUUGUAAGUCUUAGUGACUUGCGUUAGGCAAUGAUUUCUUCGACGUGACACCGAAGGCACGGCAAUGAAAGAUUGGGAGCAUGAAUUCAUCAGCAUUAAAGACCCACCUGCUUCAGAGCACAUCGUCAGGGACGUGAAGAAGCAGCCCCCAGAGCAGGAGGAGAAAUCUGUGUGCACACCCCGUGUCUGAUACAGGACAUGCGUCCAGAGCAUAAAGCACCUUUGCAGCUCAGUGAGAGGAGGGCAAGCAGCAGGACUGGGAAGUCGGCACAGACUCUGAGUGGACUGUUCUUUAAAGAUAGACAACUGUCAGUAAGCUCAGGAAGGCACGCUCAACAUUAGCCAUCUUUAGGGAAAUACAAGUCGAAUACAAGGUGUCCCACCAGGACAACUGACGCCAAGGUAGACAAGAAGGAAGUGCUGGGACUCUCGUCUGCUGCUGCCGUGUCCCAGAACAGCAGUCUCGGGAGCGCCUUGGCCUCCAGCGCUCAGGACUCAGGGCUUUCACACCUGUGACCCGGGCUCAAUCCCUGGAGGAUGGAAGAUCCUGCAAGGCACGUGGCAUGGUUAAAACAAAGUGAAGUAAAAGACUUUGGAUGCAAGGAGGCCAAACCAGUCCACCCUAAAGGAAAUCAGUCCUGAAUACUCAUUGGAAGGACUGAUGUUGAAGCUGAAGCUCCAGUACUUUAGCCACCUGAUGCGAAGAGCUGACUCAUUUGAAAAGACCCUGAUGCUGGGAAAGACUGAGGGCAGGAGGAGACGGGGACGACAGAGGAUGAGAUGUUUGGAUGGCAUCACCGACUCAGUGGACAUGGGUUGGGUGGACUCGGGAGUUGGUGAUGGACAGGGAGGCCUGGCAUGCUGCCGUCCAGGGGGUCGCAGAGUCGGACACGACUGAGCGACUGAGCAACCACAAUAACGACAAAGUGAAAGAAUGUAGCCUCACUUUGUUUUUUUUUUUAAUUUUUAAAAGUUAAAAAACUUCUUUUGCUGCACCGUGUGGCUUACAGGGUCUUAGCUCGCCGAGCAGGCACUGAACCCGGGGCCCCAGCAGGGAGCACCGAGCGCUGGUCCCUGGACACCGGGGAUCCCGGGCUCAGUCACUUCGGAAAGCAGCGGUGGGGCCUCAGAGUGUUGAAAACAGAGUGGCUGUAUGACUCGGGAAUUCCACUCAGUGGUCACUGUCUCCCCUCCCCGGGAACGAAUGCUUCUUUCAACACAUGACUUCAUCGCCGCAUGAGCCACAAUCCCCCUUGAAACGGAAACCGCACAAGCGUUCCUCGUCCCUUCUUUGGGGCGCAGACCUCAAAGCGUGGCUGCUGAUCUCGCGGUGACUCUAUCCACCUUUCUGCGAGACCACCGUGCUGCUCCCCAGCAGCCGCACCGUUUCACACUCCAAUCUCUCCACAUCCUCCGCAGGACUCCAGUUCUGGCUUUUUCUUGUUGAAACAGGAGCCGUUCUGACGGGUGUGAGGGCACGGCAUCGGUCGGUUUUAGCUGUCAUCCUGGUGCUGGGUGGAGAGCGGGGUCGUAGGUGGACCUGGGAGCCUGGUCCGUGUAGGUCAGAGCUCUGGCGGGAUCCCGGGGCUCAGGGCAGCUGGAGCCAUGGAGAGGGGAGUGGGAAGCGGGUCCGAUCCACAUGGAAGGCAGAGUCAGAGCAGGCGGGAGAGGGUGCCCUGCCCUGGGGCCCUGGCCAGCUGUGCCCCCUCCCUGCCAUCUCCCCUCCAGCGCACGGCUGGCCCAGGCCAGCUUAGGAGCUGGUGCCGCGUCAGGGGGCAGUCCCAGCUCCCCCGGCCACCCCCGGGCACCUAUCUGGGUCCCCACCCCUGGGACUAACAUGGGCUGGCAGACAGGGGCAGGGGCCCACGGACCCAGGGCUUGGCGGGGCCUCCCCACUUCUGGCACUGCCCGGCGUCCCACUGGAGCAGGAUGGUAGCAUCUGACCCCGCGGGCCCAGGGCCUCAGGGCACAGGUGCGUCCAGGGCCAGGCCGGCCCCUGGGAUCCUGCACGGCCUCUGAGGGCCUGGGCCGCGUCAGGUUUACAGGCAGCUGGGGCAGGACCUGGGGCGCUCAGCGUGCUGGCCUCCGGGGGCUGGGGACGAGCCGGUGGCCCCCAUGUGGCCUGUGGGCGGGCGGAAGGCAGUCCCGGAGCUCCAGGCCGUGGGCCGCGGAGCUCCCCACAGCUUCACCUGCGGUGGCUGCGAGGGGAGGGGUGGGAGCCCCAGAGAUGGGCUCGGGCAAAGGGGCCCUCAGAGGUGUAUGCGGGGGGAGCUCCCUGCAGGCCCUGGCCGGUGCUUCCUUCUCUGGCUUUGACCCCGGGGAUCUGAGCCUGAGGUGGGGCUGCGGCCCGCAGAGCGGCUGACCCGGGCUCUGGGGGUCAGCCGGAAGCAGAGACAAGCUGGGACCGGGGGUCCCACCCUGGCACCGUGUAACAGGCAUCUGUACCGCCGUAAGCGCCACUGUCACUGGUCUUGACCGUAAUCAACAACUUCAGCUGUGCAGAGCUCUGACCCUCACCCCCCUACAACCGGAAUGUACGCACAGCCGACCCUGACCUGAUUCUAGAUCCGGGCUCCCUCCUCUGGGGUGAGGGGUGCCCGCUCCCUCUGGUUUGGACAAACCGGCAAAUGGACACGAGCCAGGAAGCAGGGCCGGCGCCGGGCGCCUCUGCGGUGCUCACGUGUCCACUUGCGGGCACUCGUGUCCCUUCCCCCACCUCCUUGGUGGGGACCCUGCUGGGCCCCGCCUACCCUGUCCUAAGUGUUUCUGCCCUCCGUCAGGGGUGAAGGACGCCCCCUCUCCCCUGCGCCAGGACAGGCGAGGUCUGGGGUCGUGGGAGAGGGAGGAGAUGACCUUGCGGUGCCGGCCCCUCCUCUGCUCCGGCAGUGGCCUGCAGUGGGUGGCUCCUGCAGCCCCAGGGCCGGGCGGUCAGGGGGUGCGGGCAGAGAGGGGCCCGUGAGGGCUGGCCCCUGCCUCCCUGCACAGCUAGCAGCGAGCCUGCUUCCGAGGGGAGCCCCCAGAUUGGGCCCUGGCUCCAGACCGGGUGAGGGAGGGAGAACACGGGAGCCUGGCCCACAGCUGUCUUUUGUCUGUCUGUCCCCCUGUGCAGGAAGUGCCCGCCUCACCCUGCCCUCACCCUGCCUGGGCAGGGGGGAGGGCCUGGGGGGCCCUGGGGUGGGCUCAGAGCAAAGGCCUCCUCUUUCUGCUCACCUGCAGGACAGACUGGCUUUUAACAGACAGGCUCCUACUGAGGGUCCUGGGCAGGACGGGAGGACAGCCUGGCCUGAAGACCCUGCGUCCCUCUCCUCGUGGGGG
ensembl:lncRNA